GGAGUCUAACAUGUGCGCGAGUCACUGGGAUCUCGGAGAAAACCCAGAGGCGAAGUGAAAGCGGGGCGCACCCUUCGCGGUCGCCUGGGGAGGACGGCGUCGGACCAACCGGCGCCCGCACUCCCGGGGCGCCUCGGCCUCCGGCCGCAGGCGCACCCGGAGCGUACACGUUGGGACCCGAAAGAUGGUGAACUAUGCCUGGUCAGGACGAAGUCAGGGGAAACCCUGAUGGAGGUCCGCAGCGAUUCUGACGUGCAAAUCGAUCGUCAGAGCUGGGUAUAGGGGCGAAAGACUAAUCGAACCAUCUAGUAGCUGGUUCCCUCCGAAGUUUCCCUCAGGAUAGCUGGCGUCCAUUUCGACCGGGACGAGUCUCAUCCGGUAAAGCGAAUGAUUAGAGGCCUUGGGGCCGAAACGACCUCAACCUAUUCUCAAACUUUAAAUGGGUGAGAUCUCCGGCUUGCUUGACUGAAGCCGCGAGGUCUGGAUCAGGGUGCCAAGUGGGCCAUUUUUGGUAAGCAGAACCGGCGCUGUGGGAUGAACCAAACGCCGGGUUAAGGCGCCUAAACCGGAGCUCACGGGAAACCAUGAAAGGCGUUGGUUGC
rnacentral:rRNA from 1 species